rnacentral:tRNA from 1 species
ACCCAGCUGGCUGAGUCAGAAAAGCAUGAGACUCUUGAUCUCAGGGUUGUGAGUUCAAGCCCUAUGUUGGGUA